rnacentral:rRNA from 1 species
GUGCCUAAUACAUGCAAGUCGAGCGGACAGAUGGGAGCUUGCUCCCUGAUGUUAGCGGCGGACGGGUGAGUAACACGUGGGUAACCUGCCUGUAAGACUGGGAUAACUCCGGGAAACCGGGGCUAAUACCGGAUGGUUGUUUGAACCGCAUGGUUCAAACAUAAAAGGUGGCUUCGGCUACCACUUACAGAUGGACCCGCGGCGCAUUAGCUAGUUGGUGAGGUAACGGCUCACCAAGGCAACGAUGCGUAGCCGACCUGAGAGGGUGAUCGGCCACACUGGGACUGAGACACGGCCCAGACUCCUACGGGAGGCAGCAGUAGGGAAUCUUCCGCAAUGGACGAAAGUCUGACGGAGCAACGCCGCGUGAGUGAUGAAGGUUUUCGGAUCGUAAAGCUCUGUUGUUAGGGAAGAACAAGUACCGUUCGAAUAGGGCGGUACCUUGACGGUACCUAACCAGAAAGCCACGGCUAACUACGUGCCAGCAGCCGCGGUAAUACGUAGGUGGCAAGCGUUGUCCGGAAUUAUUGGGCGUAAAGGGCUCGCAGGCGGUUUCUUAAGUCUGAUGUGAAAGCCCCCGGCUCAACCGGGGAGGGUCAUUGGAAACUGGGGAACUUGAGUGCAGAAGAGGAGAGUGGAAUUCCACGUGUAGCGGUGAAAUGCGUAGAGAUGUGGAGGAACACCAGUGGCGAAGGCGACUCUC